rnacentral:rRNA from 1 species
AGGACGAACGCUGGCGGCGUGCUUAACACAUGCAAGUCGAACGGACGAUUUCCUCGGGAGAAAAGUUAGUGGCGGACGGGUGAGUAACGCGUGAGUAACCUGCCUUGGAGUGGGGAAUAACACGAGGGAAACUUGUGCUAAUACCGCAUGACAUCGCGGAAGGGCAUCCUUCUGCGAUCAAAGAUUUAUUGCUCCAAGAUGGGCUCGCGUCCGAUUAGAUAGUUGGCGGGGUAAUGGCCCACCAAGUCGACGAUCGGUAGCCGGACUGAGAGGUUGGCCGGCCACAUUGGGACUGAGAUACGGCCCAGACUCCUACGGGAGGCAGCAGUGAGGAAUAUUAGGCAAGUACGGGGGAAACCCUGACCUAGCGACGCCGCGUGAAGGAUGUAAGGUUUUCGGAUUAGUAAACUUCUUUUAUGAGGGACGAUAGUGACGGUACCUCAUGAAUAAGCCACGGCUAACUACGUGCCAGCCGCCGC